ACUUACGCGGCCAUGUGAGCAAAUGGACAUUUUUAAAAGGGAUUCAUAGCAACUCCCAGACAUGUCCUCAUUUCACAAUGCCGGGGGAAGGUGAUUAGAUGAGCUUUUGCAUCUUUGACUCUACUGUGACGGAAUUAUCCUGAGAUUGUGCAGAAACACCCGCAGGAAUUCACGGGUGUUACAAACAGUGCAAACCUAAUGGGGCUUCACUACCCACAAGGGGAGGCUGGACAGAGCCGUCGGGCCCAGAGGCUGUGAACGGUCCGGGAGGUGCCGCAGGCCCUAAGGGAGACCAGGGUAUUGCAGGUUCCGACGGUCUUCCUGGGGAUAAAGGAGAACUGGGUCCCAGCGGCCUGGUCGGACCCAAAGGAGAGGUGAGUGCCUGGCGACUGUUCCGAUGACACCAUCCAUGGGUGCCUGCUGGCUUCCUGCCCACCUCUGGGCAACCAGGCGGCCCUGCAGGGCACUGCCCAGAUCUGAGAUGUAAAAAAGCUUGCUCUGGUCAAGGCUGGGCAAGACGGCUCCGUGCCGGCCAGGAAAGAGCACGU
rnacentral:sRNA from 1 species